rnacentral:rRNA from 1 species
CGUCUAUAUACGUAUAGCAUAUCAAUAAGCGGAGGAAAAGAAACUAACUAGGAUUCCCUCAGUAACGGCGAGUGAAGCGGGAAGAGCUCAAAUUUGAAAUCUUCCAAGGUUCUACCUUGACGAAUUGUAGUUUAAAGAAGUGUUUUCUGUUGGAGUUUUGGUAAAAGUUCUUUGGAAUAGGACAUCAUAGAGGGUGAGAAUCCCGUAUUUGACCAUUAUUUCCAACUUUGUGAUACACUUUCAAAGAGUCGGAUUGUUUGGGAAUGCAGUCCAAAAUGGGUGGUAAAUUUCAUCUAAAGCUAAAUACUGGCGAGAGACCGAUAGCGAACAAGUACCGUGAGGGAAAGAUGAAAAGAACUUUGAAAAGAGAGUUAAACAGUACGUGAAAUUGUCAAAAGGGAAGCGUUUGACACCAGUGUUGUUUUCUCGAAAAUCAAUUAAAAAAUGAUGGGAUUUUGUGUUGUAUUGACUUUAUCAGCUUUCUGCACUCUUUUCCUUGUCUUUUUUAAUGCACUUUUCGUUUAACAAGUCAACAUCAAUUUCUUUUGUUGUAAAAGGGUCAUUGGAAGGUGGCUUUCUUUUCGGAGAAAGUGUUUAUAGCCUUUGGACUUCUGCAAUCGGAGAGAUUGAGGUCUGCAGCGUAGAUCCUUCGGGGUUAGAUACAUUUGUGCUAAGCUAUAGCCUUUCAUAGACAACUUGUUGACUAUGAUCAGUCAUGUAGCUUACUCGCUUAUGUCAUUUUACCUACGCUUAGGAUGUUGACGAUCAGCUGAGCGCG